AGUAGAGUCAGCUAAAUAAGCUAUCGGGCCCAUACCCCGAAAAUGAAGGAUCAUCUCCUUCCCCUACUA
rnacentral:tRNA from 1 species